GGGGAUGACGUCAAGUCAGCAUGGCCUUAUGUCCUGGGCUACACACACGCUACAAUGGCCAACACAAUAGGUUGCUAAGCCGCGAGGUGGAGCCAAUCCUCAAAGUUGGUCUCAGUUCAGAUUGCAGGCUGCAACCCGCCUGCAUGAAGAUGGAGUUGCUAGUAACCGCAGGUCAGCUAUACUGCGGUGAAUACGUUCCCGGGGCUU
rnacentral:rRNA from 1 species